AUUGAACGCUGGCGGCAGGCCUAACACAUGCAAGUCGAGCGAGUGGCGGAGGGGAGUGAAAUGUCUGGGACACUGCUUGAUGGCGGGGGAUAACUCCUGGAAACGGUGGCUAAUCCCGCAUACCUUCCGAUGUGCCCAGAUGGGAUUAGCUAGUAGGUGGGGUAAAGGCUCACCUAGGCCACGAGCCCUAGCUGGUCUGAGAGGAUGACCAGCAACACUGGAACUGAGACACGGUCCAGACUCCUACGGGAGGCAGCAGUGGGGAAUCUUGCGCAAUGGGCGAAAGCCUGAUGCAGCCAUGCCGCGUGUGUGAAGAAGGCCUUCGGGUUGUAAAGCACUUUUAGUGGGGAGGCGUUACCCGAAGAAGAAGCCACGGCUAACUCCGUGCCAGCAGCCGCGGUAAUUC
rnacentral:rRNA from 1 species